CCCCCCGCCCGCAGCUGCUAGACCCGAUUUCCGCGAGACGCCCCAUCCGUGUUCAGCCAUCCCUCACCUGGCGGUCUCCAAGCGAUCAACCUUUCCACCCUCUCUACUCUCCUCGUUGACCCACUUAGGCUACCUUGCGCAACGGUGUAAUCUCUCGCCAAUCUUCUAACAAAGCUCACUCUAUCUCGAGAUUUCUUGUUUUCACCAAAGACAUUCGCACACCGCCAUUUCCAUCCCCACCAUAGUGUUGCAGCAAACAAAAUUGGCCAUUGUAUGUCAUUUAUCAUCCGCUUACUCUUGUUGUUGCUAUAUAUCCACUCGAGCAGAGUUUGUGUAAAGAACAC
rnacentral:sRNA from 1 species